AUUGAACGCUGGCGGCAGGCCUAACACAUGCAAGUCGAGCGAGCGGCGGACGGGUGAGGAAUGUCUGGGAAACUGCCUGAUGGAGGGGGAUAACUACUGGAAACGGUAGCUAAUACCGCAUACGAUCAGAUGUGCCCAGAUGGGAUUAGCUAGUAGGGGGGGUAAUGGAUCACCUCGGCGACGAUCCCUAGCUGGUCUGAGAGGAUGACCAGCCACACUGGAACUGAGACACUGUCCAGACGCCUACGGGAGGCAGCAGUGGCGAAUAUUGCACAAUGGGCGGGAGCCUGGUGCAGUCAUGCAGCGUGUGUGAAGAAGGCGUCCGGGUUGUAAAGCACUUUCAGGGGGUAGACGUUACCCGCAGAAGAAGCACCGGCUAACUACGUGCCAGCAGCCGCGGUAAUUC
rnacentral:rRNA from 1 species